rfam:Mitsuaria sp. 7, complete genome.
GUGGCUAUAGCUCAGUUGGUAGAGUCCCAGAUUGUGAUUCUGGUUGUCGUGGGUUCGAGUCCCAUUAGCCACC